rnacentral:tRNA from 1 species
GGGCGUGUGGUCUAGUGGUAUGAUUCUCGCUUUUGGUGCGAGAGGCCCUGGGUUCAAUUCCCAGCUCGCCCC